CCUACGGGGGGCAGCAGUAGGGAAUCUUCCACAAUGGGCGAAAGCCUGAUGGAGCAACGCCGCGUGGGUGAAGAAGGUCUUCGGAUCGUAAAACCCUGUUGUUAGAGAAGAAAGUGCGUGAGAGUAACUGUUCACGUUUCGACGGUAUCUAACCAGAAAGCCACGGCUAACUACGUGCCAGCAGCCGCGGUAAUACGUAGGUGGCAAGCGUUAUCCGGAUUUAUUUGGCGUAAAGGGAACGCAGGUGGUCUUUUAAGUCUGAUGUGAAAGCCUUCGGCUUAACCGGAGUAGUGCAUUGGAAACUGGGAGACUUGAGUGCAGAAGAGGCGAGUGGAACUCCAUGUGUAGCGGUGAAAUGCGUAGAUAUAUGGAAGAACACCAGUGGCGAAAGCGGCUCUCUGGUCUGUAACUGACGCUGAGGUUCGAAAGCGUGGGUAGCAAACAGGAUUAGAUACCCCAGUAGUC
rnacentral:rRNA from 1 species